rnacentral:snRNA from 1 species
GGAUGUGAGGGCGAUCUGGCUGCGACAUCUGUCACCCCAUUGAUCACCAGGGUUGAUCGGCUGAUCUGGCUGGCUAGGGGGGUGUCCCCCUCCUCCCUCACCGAUCCAUGUGCGUCCAUCCCGAAGCUGCGCAGUCGGUCGAAGAG